rnacentral:rRNA from 1 species
GGUUAAGCGACUAAGCGUACACGGUGGAUGCCCUGGCAGUCAGAGGCGAUGAAGGACGUGCUAAUCUGCGAUAAGCGUCGGUAAGGUGAUAUGAACCGUUAUAACCGGCGAUUUCCGAAUGGGGAAACCCAGUGUGUUUCGACACACUAUCAUUAACUGAAUCCAUAGGUUAAUGAGGCGAACCGGGGGAACUGAAACAUCUAAGUACCCCGAGGAAAAGAAAUCAACCGAGAUUCCCCCAGUAGCGGCGAGCGAACGGGGAGCAGCCCAGAGCCUGAAUCAGUGUGUGUGUUAGUGGAAGCGUCUGGAAAGGCGCGCGAUACAGGGUGACAGCCCCGUACACAAAAAUGCACAUAUUGUGAGCUCGAUGAGUAGGGCGGGACACGUGGUAUCCUGUCUGAAUAUGGGGGGACCAUCCUCCAAGGCUAAAUACUCCUGACUGACCGAUAGUGAACCAGUACCGUGAGGGAAAGGCGAAAAGAACCCCGGCGAGGGGAGUGAAAAAGAACCUGAAACCGUGUACGUACAAGCAGUGGGAGCACGCUUAGGCGUGUGACUGCGUACCUUUUGUAUAAUGGGUCAGCGACUUAUAUUCUGUAGCAAGGUUAACCGAAUAGGGGAGCCGAAGGGAAACCGAGUCUUAACUGGGCGUUAAGUUGCAGGGUAUAGACCCGAAACCCGGUGAUCUAGCCAUGGGCAGGUUGAAGGUUGGGUAACACUAACUGGAGGACCGAACCGACUAAUGUUGAAAAAUUAGCGGAUGACUUGUGGCUGGGGGUGAAAGGCCAAUCAAACCGGGAGAUAGCUGGUUCUCCCCGAAAGCUAUUUAGGUAGCGCCUCGUGAAUUCAUCUCCGGGGGUAGAGCACUGUUUCGGCAAGGGGGUCAUCCCGACUUACCAACCCGAUGCAAACUG